AAUCCAUGAUGUGGACACUUCUGCAAAAGGUCCUUGAAUUGCUCCCAUGUCUCAAACAUGAACUGAAGCUCCAUCUGAAUAAUCGACGAUAUCUCAUUAUGAAGCUU